rnacentral:rRNA from 1 species
UACGAAGGGGGCUAGCGUUGUUCGGAAUUACUGGGCGUAAAGCGUGCGCAGGCGGCCAUCCAAGUCAGUGGUGAAAGCCCGGAGCUCAACUCCGGAAUUGCCUUUAAGACUGCAUCGCUAGAAUUGUGGAGAGGUAAGUGGAAUUCCGAGUGUAGAGGUGAAAUUCGUAGAUAUUCGGAAGAACACCAGUGGCGAAGGCGACUUACUGGACACAUAUUGACGCUGAGGUGCGAAAGCGUGGGGAGCAAACAGG